ACCAUGGCUUCCACCCACCCCUUAAAGCUGCUCAUGGGAGGAUCUCUGUCCACUCCCUGAUUGCCCUUCUCCAGCCCAUUUCUGAGACAGAGAAGGGUUUAGAUCUGCGGGUGUGAUUUAUAACCCACAUUUGCAAAGCUGGUACAUUUUCACAAGUUCUUGCUAACAUAAUGGGCAAUUUCUGCCAGCAAUUUAAAUAUUUAGAAAUAAGAGGACACACUCUACUGCCUGAUAAGAGCAGUUUAAUGAAGGUCAUAUGUGGGUCCUGACGUGUUGGACAAAAUUCUGUGUAUAAUUGAUGUGUAAAUGUCGUCACGUAGGGAGAACUGAGCACGUAGGAUGGGGUAGCCCCCAGAGAGGAUGGCAGGAUGGGCACUGAAAACAGACUUUAUCAGAUUAUAUAAUAAUCCUCUCAUUUAGGGUACCUCGACCUCUUCAAUACCUUUCAUACAACAGUAAAUCACCCUUUCUCUCUGGCUCUUGUUUCUAAAAGUGGGUCAUCUUCAGGGCUUGCCUUUCAGUUUCUGAGAAAUGUCUAUUGUCUUCCCUCCUCUUGUUUAGCCACGAGAAUGAAAGAGACAGAGACUAGCCACUUAGGUCAUUGAAAGAGUACGCUGGCAUUUUUGUCCUUUGCUCCCUAAGACUUUGCAACUGAUGUGCAUGGGACCAGGUUUGCACCGAGAGAGCAAAGAACAGGCAAUGAUUUAGCGUAUUAUUCUCUGGUUCUAAUAGAGCCAUACACCAAGAUUCUUAAGAAUCUCUCCAAAUUCCUUUAGGGAAAACAACAACAACAACAACUCAAAUCCAUGGUAAUGGCUGCUGGGGGCCCCAUUCUGAGGAUCCCAGGGGAGGUUCAUUGGUGAUAAAUGCUGGAACCCUGGAACAGAACAAAUUGGUCUCAUAAGCAGCCAGGGACAGCCUUUCUGAAUACAGCUGCUUUCUUCAUUAGAAAGCUAAAAAUAGCCCCGAUCAUUGCAGGCUGGUUUCACUUUAAGCCUUCUGCCACAUCCAUUUGUCUGUUUCAUUCAGGGUUUCUGCGUGUCUAUGACACUGUGAUACUAUUUCAGAUGAAAAGUACAUUGAAGAAAUGUUUGCUUUUCCCUCCCCCAUGUUCACUCCAGAUGUCCCCAACUGUCCAACACUGUUUCAUACUAGAACUCACGGGAAUCUUCCGGCAUCCUCACCAUCCCCAUCUGCUUCACUCAUUUUUGGAAAAAUAAACACCAUUCCACGUUGCAAGCAAGAGUCUACAAUUAUUAAGGUUUUGCUUUUUUUUCAAGGAAAUGUUCAUUACAUGUGUGAUUUUCUAUGGCUAGCUCAUGAAAUUCGGAGCAUAAACUACCCUUUCCGCUGAUGCAGGAUUUUACCAGAUCCUCUACUCAGACUUAGUUUGAGAAGACUUUUUUUUUUUUUUUUUUCCUCCUGGGGCUGGCUGACUCUUGGCUCUGGGCAAAGCCAGUUUCCUUUCUAGCUUUUAAAAGUGAUAAGGAAGCCCGCUGUGGGGGCAGCCUACGUGAGUAGAUCAGUCUGUGGCCAUUGGGGAGAAUGUAUAGUCUUUGUCUUCUCCAUCUUUCCUCCCUAAGGAGGUUGGCUUUGCAUGAUGCAUGGAGGUGGCACCAUGACGAGAGCAAGGUGGAUCCCCUGUGUCAUUUACGGCAGUCUGGCCUGCUCUCUUCCCUCCUUUCAGCACCCAGGAUAUUGAGGGAAUGGAACAUAUAAGAGGGAAAAAAAUGAGAGAAGAACAAAAGACAUCAACCUGCUUUAAUACUAUCCAUUUACAAAAAGUCCACUCAGGGAACAGGCACACAAAGCUACACGGGGAACCAUUCAUAAUUAAAACAGGGAAAAUAAACCUCAACCUUAAAUCCAACCACAUUGCAUAUACCCUUGUAUAUAGAAAAGCAUGAUUUUAAUGGCUUUAAUAGGACUGAAAAUCCUAAAGAUGGGAGCUAAUGUUGCUAUGGAAACUUUUCCAUGUCUUGACUGCAGAACUCUUAGUUGAAAUUUGCAAACUUAGUAUCACAUUAGCUUUUUUCACACUGGAUUUCUGGUUGGUCUUUUAAGAAGAUAAAAGGAGAAAAACUCCAUGUCAUACUAGUACUUUUUGUCACACUCCUAGCCAAAGGAGAGGGCGGUUUAUCAUCAUCUGAUGCUUUUUUCCCCCUGUCUGCUCAGGGAAACCUCUACCAAAGAGCUUACAUAAGGGCUUUGCAGGGUAAGGAUUUUAUAGUCAAGCAUGAUGAAUUCAGUGCCAACAUUUAAAAAAUUUGAAUUCUUUUCUCAUAGAAUCAGAUGUCCAAAGUCUGCAUCAAUAGACAGGGGGUUUGUGAAUUAAAAUUCCUAAUGACACAGAGCUCAAAGCCCUACAGAGUGUAGAAAAAUCUCUGAGCUCAGCCCCCAAAGGCAUGGCGAUGCCUGAAGCCUAUGCUCAUGUGCUGCCCUCCUGCACAGGACUGGAAAGUCAGGCCCUUCAUGGGUUAAAAGCGAUGUGAAAAGCAUGCCACAUGGAGAAUUGUGCAGUGAUCAUUUGGAAGGCUUGACUAUCCCUGGCCCCACUCUUCAUCACCUUCUCCCUACUCUCAGCCCAGCCUCAGUUGGGAGGUGGGGUUGCGUAUCAGUAGAAGGCUUAGCAAACUGGAAGCUUUGCAAGUUUUAGAGUCCGGUGGGCCUGAUUAAAAAGUGAGCUCCACCAUGGGGGCAGGUUCUUCAACUUCGAGGAGCUUCGGUGUUGUCACUAAAUGGAGAUAAUACUGCCUUCUUGUAUAUGGACGUCGUAAGGAAUGAUUGAGAUGACAUAUGCCAGAUACUGGGUACUUUUCCUGGCUCAUAGCACUGCAGAUUCUUCAUAAAUAUGUUGUCCUGCAGUUGAGAAGUGUGCAUCGUCAGAGCCUUUGGGGCCAGGAAGGAGCAAACUAGAUCCAGGCUGCCAUCUAAUGAGUCCUUGUGAAGGGACAUAAACUCCUCCUCUUCCCCCAUCUCUACUAUUACAUAUUUUGAUUGUUUUCCCCUAAAUCCAUCUAUUUACUCUGAAACUCAAUGUUUGUGCUGUGAUGACCUCAUCUUGGUCCCUACUGUAUUCUCAAGGCUUUUGCAUAAGGGCUGCAUAAUAAAUACUUUUGGAUGCAGGGGUGAGAUGUGGGGGUAUGAGGCACACAGAAUUUAGGAUGGGGGCUAUAAUUUAAAAAUUUUAAAAAGCCACAAAUGCAGACUCUGGUUCAGGGCUUAGGAAGGAGCCCAUGCAAUCAUGGCACCCUGAAACUAAAGCUUUGUGUGUAAAUUAACCCUUAUCUGGGGUAGUGACCAUGGUCUUGAGAACUAUUAAUGAGUGAUCGCCAGCCUUUUUGUGACCUUGUCCUUUGCUGGCACCUUGUUUUGGUCCUAGGACAAUUCAAUUUAGGUCUGUCACUUGAGGUGCAGACUAAUGAUGAGAAACCAUUACACCCACAAGUUAUGUCCAGGUGGUGUGGGAUGGAUAGCCAUAUUCAGAAUCUGGUUUUUAUCAAUAACCUACAAUCCAUCUGUUGGGACUGCCACAGCAAAAUACCACAGAUUGGGUGUCUCAAACAAGAGACAUUUAUUUCUCAUAGUUCUGAAAGCUGAGAAGUCCAAGAUCAAGGUACUGGAUGAUUUGAUCUCUGGUGAGAGUCACCUGCCUGGCUUGUACCGUAAAUGGGCAACUUUUCAUUACGUCCUCACAUGUCCUUUCUCCUGUGAAUUCCCAGAAAGAGAGAGAGAGAGAAAGAGAAUCUUGCCCAUUCUAUAAGGCCACCAGUCCUACUGGAUUAGGGCCCCAUCACUGUGACCUCAUUUAACCUUAAUUACCUCUUAACAACCCUGUUUCCAAAUACAGUCCCAUUGAGGGUGGGGCUCCAAUGUGUGGAUUUUGCAGGGGACAUAAUUCAGUCCAUAGCACCUACUGAGCCUACUUCUGGCUUCCUCUCUGGCUCUUAAUUUGAAGACUCACUUACCUCUUUAGGCUUCAAUAUGCUCAUCAGAUCCGGGGAUAACAUUAGAGCAGAGCAGAGUGGAGUAAAUAACCUCCAGGAAGUGGAACCAAAUGGCAUCCCCCACAGGGCAGUUUUUUCAGCAGGGAUGUUGAGAAGAUGCAAGGUGUUGAAAGGAGAGGCCAGCAUGGUCCUUGGCCCCCUUUGAAGCUGUACUCUCUUCCCUAUCCUGCUUUUUGCUUUCAUAUUUUACUGCUCUUUUUCCUCCUUCCUGUUCCCCCCUCCUUUCUCUCUAUUUUUAAUAGUGUAUCAUCAGACACAGUAGUUCUUGGCCCUCUUCGUGAUGCGACCUGCUUUCAAUUCCCCCCACCCCCAAUUAAGGGGUUGACGUCUGGGUAAGAAGUGGGGAAGCAGAGUGGGCAGAAUAGGUGGGAGGGCUGGGUGGGGUUGAUGUAAGACAUGAGAAACAACUGCGUUAUCCCAUGGCAGGGAGGCAAGGGGAAUGACAGCAAGAGAAUGGAGUGGUAGGCACCGGCACAGAGCAAGAACUACCCCAGGUAAUAACUCCAGGUCUCAAUUUUCUUAUCAGUUUCUUAAAAAAAAAAAAACUGGAGUAGAAAAUCCUCCAGGUGCCCUCAAUCUGUACUAUACUGUACCUCUGUACCUCUUUCUACUUUACCUUACUAGGAAAGGGCAUUGAUAAAUAAAACUCUGUGUGCCUUGUAAGAAAAUCAUUAUGUAAAUUCGAAGUACUGCUCAAAUUAAUUCUAAUGAGGUUCAGGGGGAAAAACAAGUAACAACCAAAACUCUUUAAUAAAGUGUUCUAAAAAGAAAAAAAGAAUUAUCGCCCACUUCUGCACUUCCUGCUUUUGGCAGGGACUCGAAGUGGAAAUCUGAAAACACUGUGAGACAGUCUGUUCUCAUGGUAUUUCUAGCUGAGAACAGGAAGGAGGGGAAAUCUCAUAUGAGUGAGAGAGCCUGUUUUUCAGUGAUUAGCAGGCCAAAGAAGUUUCGCUGGGCAAUCAAGCUUGACAGCACCUCUAAAAGUUCUACCUUUAUUUGGUCAGCAGAACAGAUUUUGCCAGGAGCCCCAGCAUAAUCACCAAAACACAACCGUCAUCUGCCAUGUAAGCCAAGGGGCUCUUCUCCCUGAGCCUGGGUGUUAGGUGCUGGCGACCCAGACGUGAGCCAUAUGGCCCCUACCCUUCUGGAGCACAGAGCAAAGUUGGAAGGAUCAGGAAUCUAUAAAUGACAAAUAAUUACAAUGCUAAGCAGCCUCUGCUGAGUGCUAACUUAGCCAUGCAGACAAUGCUAGGAGAGAGGCUUCCAUGUGCUGCACAAAAUUCCUUAUUGGUUUGCAUUCAUUCUCUACCUCACCACUGUACUCUCAUCACUCAGCACGGGCAUAUUCUGCCCCUUUAGGCAUAAAACAUUUCUUAAGUCCUUGGACUCUUUGGCCCAACCCAAGUCACAACAGAUUGCCUUGUGUGUGAUGCCCAUGAGUCACUGAGGCUGAAUCAUGUUCACAGUAAGCAUGUAAUGAUUAAUGCAUAUUGAUUUGCUGGGCGUGCUGAAACCAGAACAAUCCCAGAGCCUAGACUAGUUGUGUUGUCCCUAAUUACCUGCCAGAGGCUUACGUGCACUGGUGUCUAAGGCUGCAGUAGACACUCCAGGGAACGCACUUAGUCACCAUGACUCCAACUGAGACUCAUAAAUCACCUAAGGUGCAUGUCAAUGGCAUCUUUACAACCAGGGCCCCUUGAGGGCACAGGUGGAGAGAUGAGCUUUCCUUCCCCCACCCUCCCCUAGAGAAGAACACAGGAAUCCCCCAUCUGAGUGCAAUCCUCUCCCUAAGUGGCAACCUUUCCUGGAAAAAAAUAAAAACGAUUUGAUGUUCUCUUUGAAAUAAUGUAACGAUGAGGCUUAAAUUCUGAACAAGGGACUAACGGUGACUUGUUGAAAUGCUGAUCAUUAACAUCUUUAAUCUGCUAUUUAUUUAACCCUGGGUGCUAUGCCUAUAGAGCGAAUAGUAAAAUGCUUACAAAAAUGUUUGUAAAUUAGACAGAUACAGUUGGAGCCCAUCACUAUAAUGAUUUAUCAUAUUUACUAUGUUUUAACCUCUGUGAUUGCUUCGUGACACAUACCAGGUGAGAGGUCGGAGAGAUGUGUUCAGUGGUGGCAUGGAAUUCAGGAUUUCUCUGGGUUAAUUUUGUCUGGACCUUUGAGAAAUCUUAGGAUUGCUUCAUGGGUUUUUAUUUCCUGUGAGGACUAUCAAAAAGAAUUAAGACAGACUCAGCCAGCAAAAGAGCAUACAAUCUGGAGUUCUUGCCAUGGCUCAGUGGUUAAUGAACCUGACUAGGAUGCAUGAGAAUGCAGGUUUGAUCCCUGGCCUUGCUCAGUGGGUUAAGGAUCCCGCAUUGUGUGAGUGGUGGUGUAGGUCACAGAUGUGGCUAGGAUCCCGAGUUGCUGUGGCUGUGGCGCAGGCCAGCAGCUGCAGCUCCAAUUGGACCCCUAGUCUGGGAAGUUCCAUAUGCCAUGGGUGAGG
rnacentral:lncRNA from 1 species